rnacentral:misc_RNA from 1 species
AGAGUUCUUAAUCUUGCAACAUGGAUGCAGAGUCGACCCUUUUUGAAAGGAUGCAGAGUCAACUCUUGAAAAUAAAAACAAUUGUCGACUUCCUCAAGGAUGCAGAGUCGACAAUUGUUUUGAUUGGAGCGAAAUAAUGCAAUCUACUUUGCAUUCAUUGAGUUCUUUGCUUUCUGAAUUGUUGUUCUCAGGUUAUGUCAUUCCCCUAAUCCUGCACACACUUUUAUUUCUCGAUCAGUCUAGGAUAAUUUAUUUAUUUUUGGAAAUUCCUACUCAAUGUUAUGGCCUGAAGAUGCAUGGGGGUUGUUAGGACUGAAGCCCAGACAUUGGAUGCAAUUUUAAUGGGAGGAACUACUGAAUUUGUUUUACAAAGCUUAUGUUUGUAGUUUAAAUUUAAUUUCAAAAAUAUUUUCUUUUAGGAGAGAAAAUUACACAGGAACUUGUCCAGAUUCAUGCACAUCCACAUUUGUUCGAUCUUUAUUCGAUUACAUAGAUCACAUUUAUUGUGGAUAUCAGAAAUUAGCUUGCUAGUCGCUUCUUUCCAUAGCAUGAGGAUAUUUUUAAAGUUGCAGUACUCUUAUCAACUGUUGUUACAGAAACAGGAUCAUCCCUUAUAACUAUAUGGAUUUGCUGGUUAAUAAUUUAUUCCCUUUUUCUGGAGGCUACUGCUAUAUGCUGUUAACUUCUAUUAUUGUUCUGUUUUGGAUAAUUGUUUAGUUUGUAAAGCUGGAAGAGAAGACCCCUUCAGGUACUGGCUUUUCACUGCAUAUGCUGUUCUAAAGAAAGUUGACAAACAAAAGUUCCUGAUUAGACCUUGGAACUUGAACAGGAGUGCACUUUGGAGAUAGUCAAACAAGUGCCCCCAACUCUCCAUGAAUGAAUAAAGUCAACCUUUUUAAACCUGACCAUGAAAGAAAUCUAACUGUGUGCAUGAACAUUUUGUGCAAACAAUUAAAAUGGCCAACACCUACUCCCUUGUAUAGCUGGCCUUGGAAAAAAUAUUCUACCAAUUCUAACUACCAAAUGCGUGCUAAGUUAUCAUUUGGGAUUGGGACCUAUUCUGCUUCUGAUGAUUGUUGGUUAUUGAUUUGGAAGAAUUAGGCCCUGAAAAUGGGAUGUUGAGGGUAAACCUGGAGUGAUGGAAGCUAUUUGUUUUAACAAUUAUAGAAGAUGCUUUAAUUGGUGUGAUUGGAAUUUCUGCUAUGUAUAGGGAUUUACAAUUUCUAUCAUACAGUUUGAGGGGACCAUUGUAGGCUCUUUUGGUGUUUAGACUGCAAAUGUCCAAUACAUCCCAUAUAUGCAAACAAAAUCUUUUUUAUUUU